rnacentral:RNase_P_RNA from 1 species
AAAGAGGAUAAAGUGUCUGUCUCAGCACCUAAUUUGAAGUUUUUGAAUUCAAAAACUUCAAAUUAGGUGCUGGGGAGGAAAGUCCGAACACCAAAGGGCAGGAUACUUUCUAACUGAAAGUCCCGGCAACGGGAAGCCAGCUCCACAGAAACAAACCGUCUCGAAUUUUCGAGACAAGGGUGAAAUGGUGGUGUAAGAGACCACCAGAUCUCGAUGUGAAUCGAGAUGCUCGGAAAGCCUUAUCCGGUGCAAUGCCAAAUAGGAAAGCAAUGAAUCGGCCCGAUUCGCUUUCGGGUAGGCAGCUAAAAUCGGUCGCUUGCGAAUCCAUUUGGAUAUAGCAAUAUCCGAUUUAGAGAAAUAGACGCUCUAUCACUUGUUAGGUGAUAAACAGAAUUCGGCUUAAUAUCUUCUUUGACA